UCUUUGCUCUCCUGCAGUGAAGCAUGCCCAUGGACGUAGCGGUCAUUUGUUUGGCCUGGGUCUGCGCUCAGAGGGAGGACUUGUGCUUUUAGAGAAGCUCGCCUUCCCUUCCUAACCCAUUUCUAAGGCAGAGAGGCAGUGAGGACCCAGGGAGUCACAAAGACAACCAAAGAGGCAUAGAAAACCAGCAAGGUGGGAACCAGCAAUUCCUAAAUCCAUGGCAACAGCACGUCUCUCAGGCCCUCUGCCUUCUUUUCCCCUCCAUCCCGAGGGCUGGACUGAUAGCAUCCGCCUUAACUCUUCGUGAAAGAUGAGAAAGGAUGCCACAAGUGAGUUCAGUUCUCAUAGAAGGAGAGGGAGAAAGGAGUAUUUAAUACUGAUCAGGUAUAAUCAUACAUUUUUGGUGUUGAGCCAGAUAUACAUGCGGGCAUUUCUGUAGCAAUCUGUAAGAAGCUUUAUAAAUGUAUCUAUUUCAAAAUAAUGAGCUUUAAUGGGGCGCCUGGGUGGCGCAGUCGGUUAGGCGUCCGACUUCAGCC